AGAACACCUUUGAGAGUAACUGUUCAAGGGUUGACGGUAUUUAACCAGAAAGCCACGGCUAACUACGUGCCAACAGCCGCGGUAAUACGUAGGUGGCAAGCGUUGUCCGGAUUUAUUGGGCGUAAAGCGAGCGCAGGCGGUUUUUUAAGUCUGAUGUGAAAGCCUUCGGCUUAACCGGAGAAGUGCAUCGGAAACUGGGAGACUUGAGUGCAGAAGAGGACAGUGGAACUCCAUGUGUAGCGGUGGAAUGCGUAGAUAUAUGGAAGAACACCAGUGGCGAAGGCGGCUGUCUAGUCUGUAACUGACGCUGAGGCUCGAAAGCAUGGGUAGCGAACAGGAUUAGAUACCCUGGUAGUCCAUGCCGUAAACGAUGAGUGCUAAGUGUUGGAGGGUUUCCGCCCUUCAGUGCUGCAGCUAACGCAUUAAGCACUCCGCCUGGGGAGUACGACCGCAAGGUUGAAACUCAAAGGAAUUGACGGGGGCCCGCACAAGCGGUGGAGCAUGUGGUUUAAUUCGAAGCUACGCGAAGAACCUUACCAGGUCUUGACAUCUUCUGCCAAUCUUAGAGAUAAGACGUUCCCUUCGGGGACAGAAUGACAGGUGGUGCAUGGUUGUCGUCAGCUCGUGUCGUGAGAUGUUGGGUUAAGUCCCGCAACGAGCGCAACCCUUAUUAUCAGUUGCCAGCAUUCAGUUGGGCACUCUGGUGAGACUGCCGGUGACAAACCGGAGGAAGGUGGGGAUGACGUCAAAUCAUCAUGCCCCUUAUGACCUGGGCUACACACGUGCUACAAUGGACGGUACAACGAGUCGCGAAGUCGUGAGGCUAAGCUAAUCUCUUAAAGCCGUUCUCAGUUCGGAUUGUAGGCUGCAACUCGCCUACAUGAAGUUGGAAUCGCUAGUAAUCGCGGAUCAGCAUGCCGCGGUGAAUACGUUCCCGGGCCUUGUACACACCGCCCGUCACACCAUGAGAGUUUGUAACACCCAAAGCCGGUGAGAU
rnacentral:rRNA from 1 species